AUUAUACCAGAAAUUUGCUGAUACUAGUUUACCGUGGUCUAAAUGGAUAUUAUACCAGAAAAGGAACUAGUACUCUUGCUCUUGAGUUAUACGUAGAGAACAUGCUAAAGUUGGAGAGCGGUGCGCUUGGCUAAGUUGUUCGGGUCUCAGUGGUCACAUAUGUUGUGCAACUGCUGCUAGAUUUGGAUUUGGAAAUUGGAUCAUUGAAGAAUUCUCACAAGAUCAUGGACUAUUUCAGAUGGAGCUGGAACACCUUUAUCUAAAUGAUGGUAGUGAGGUAUGACUGAGUUGGCUUAAACUAGGUAAAUUGAAAACAUGAUGCAUGUUAGCUUUGGAACUCUUUUUGAAUUAAGGCUGUUUCUAAGGAACUCUUUUUGAGAAACAUAGUGUGCUGUGUGGUUUUUGCUUUUGAAAAUAGAACUUAUGUAUAGGUACUUAAAUAUAGGUACUGGUUUUUUUUAAAGAUUAGUGUUUCAUCACUGCUUUCUUUCUAAAUGUUCUGAUUUUGUUCAGUGCAUUGCAAAUUUGCAAUAUCAUUCUAUUCUUCUUUAUGUACUGUAUUAGGAACUGGGGAGCCAAUCCAUGAUGAUGCAUUUUAUUUACCACAAUAGAAUUUGAUAUUCAUUUUGUGUGGGAUUGAUUGGACUGUGUGGGAUUGAUGGUUUGAGAAUUAGGA